rnacentral:lncRNA from 1 species
AGCAGCUGGUCCCCCACAGGGGCUGAGACCUGUCAAGGGCUGCUGCUGUACCUGCCCUGGUCAGUGGCCAGGCCCGGCUGGCCUCAGGGAGGGAGAUCCCCUGCACAGUGGUGUGCUGGCGCCGGAUGCCAGCCAAGGACGGAGGCGGUCCUGGGAAAAAGGGUAAGGUUGGCCAUUCUGUUAGAGCUGCCUUCUCUUUUGGUAAAGAACUGUGCCCACCACCGACACUGGAAAGAACGCUCGUCACCAUUUAGUGGACACCCUCUCACCAGCCCAACCUGUGCAGUAGGGUCUAUUCAGAAGCCCAGAGAGGUCAGGCCAUGCAUCUACAGUCACACAGCCAGGGCCUGACUGUGGACAGCAUCUCCCAUGGUGUUCACAGGAGUCUGAUCAUAGGCAUCAGAUUGGGGCACCAGCCCCUUAAAGGGAAACCCACAUCCUGUUUUUGGCUCUGCCUCAACGAUAAGAAUUUGUGAUAACGGGGAAUCUGGAGAUGAUGUCUCCCUCGAGGCCCUGCCUCCUCUUUCCUUCCUUUCUCCUGUGCCCCAUCUCAGAGCCCUGGGCAGCCUCCAGCCUGCACGUGGCCAUGACACACACCCCUGUGUGGCAUCUGCAGUGUUGCCCCCCUCGGGCCUUGGUGGCUUGCUUUCCUCUGCUGUUGGAAGGGAGGAAGAAUGAAGCUCGCCUCAGAGCUCUUGGGGUGACCGAUGGUGUCCCACACCUGGCCGACACCUGGUGGGAAUCUGGAAGGAGGGCCUGGGAGUCUGGGGACACAGCUGUCACUCCAGUUCUGUCACUGACCAGCUGUGCAGCCUGAGCCGAGUCUUCACCCUCUCUGAGCCUCAGUUUCCUCAUCUAUGUGACGGGACGAUGGCCCCGCCUCACCUCCAUUUUCCUGAAGCAGGUCCAGCACGAAGCUCAUGUCACUGUGGCUCAGGGUCAUCUUUAGUCCUCAGCUUCGACCCUCUUCUCCCAUUGAAAAAGUCCUUUUGGAAAACUCACACCAAGAUGGCUGGUCCUGCGGGGGCUUGGAGUCCCCCAGGGGCCCCGCGGCCCUAGACUCCCACCCCUCCACCUGUCACAAGGAGGUCACAUCCCUUCCCGGGGUGUGGGGAGAAGGUACAAAGAGGCCCGUGCAUUGCCCGGGGAGUUUAUCCAGGAGCAAAGCCCUCCCCAGGGCGAGCCCAGGGAGCCAGCAAGGGCACCCGCCGCUGCAGGGUUUGGGGUGGAGAAAGGGGGCUCCCGUUCUAUCGGCAGGUGUUUGCGGUCGAGGGUCUCCAGCAGCCUGGUGGCCCUGGCUCCUGGUGUUGUGACUUGGUGAGCCCCCUCCACAUUCAGCAGAGCUAGUCUGGGGGCCAGUGGUUGGCUGCUGGAGGCCGCCACUGCUGAGAUUAGGUCAUAGGAGAGGGGAGCGCCAUCUGUGCUUUCUCUGGACUCCUCUGGUGGAGGCAGCUGUCACAGCCCUGGGACACGUGGAUAGCAAGGAAUGGAG